rnacentral:tRNA from 1 species
GAGAGGACGGGACUGGUGUCUCACCUGGUCUUCAAAACCAGUAACAGGCAGCUAAAACUGUCUGCGGCAGGUUCGAUUCCUGCCCUCUCAGCCA